rnacentral:misc_RNA from 1 species
GAUGAAGAACGUAGCGAAAUGCGAUACUUGGUGUGAAUUGCAGAAUCCCGUGAACCAUCGAGUCUUUGAACGCAAGUUGCGCCCGAAGCCAUUAGGCCGAGGGCACGCCUGCCUGGGCGUCACACGUCGUUGCCCCCCCCAUCUACUCCUUCGGGAUUGCGGGGGGCGGAUGAUGGCCUCCCGUGCGCCUCGCCGCGCGGUUGGCAUAAAUGCCAAGUCCUCGGCGACGCACGCCACGACAAUCGGUGGUUGCGAAACCUCGGUUGCCCGUCGUGUGCGGUCGUCGCGCAUCGAGGGCUCGAAAAAAUUGCCGGGCUCCGGCUCGGCUUUCAACGCGACCCCAGGUCAGGCGGGGUUACCCGCUGAAUUUAAGCAUAUCAAUAGCGGAGGA